GCUCAGCCCAGCGCCGCCCCUCCCCACCCCGGCUAAACUACCAGAGGGAUCCCAGGCCAACUAGAAGAUCAGGGUGAGCCUUAAGGAACCGGGCUCAUCAAAGUCCCCUUCUGCUUUUGAUCUGCAUGGAGAAAAGGCCCUGAAGACCUGCUCCCCUGGGGAUGGACUGCCUUAGGAGCAGAAGUUGAGGUGUGGACGCUGCUGGCACACACUGUCUGAAGGCCCAGCCAGGCGGUGGGAGAGGGUUCCUCCCAGAGGGUGUCAGAGGAUGGAGGGGAGCCAGCGGAGCAACCGAGGCAGAGCAGAGGUAGCUAUAGAUUCCACGGCCUCGAACGGGGACUCCAGGAACAGCUGUUCCCUGACUACAUCCACUCCUGCCAACCCAACGUGCACUUGAAGGCCUUGGCGGCUGUGGUGGAGAUUUGCCAAGACUC